rnacentral:rRNA from 1 species
CGGACGGGUGAGUAACGCGUGAAGGAUGACGGCCUAUGGGUUGUAAACUUCCUUUUUCAGGGAGGAAUCAAUGACGUGUACCUGAAGAAUAAGCAUCGGCUAACUCCGUGCCAGCAGCCGCGGUAAGACGGAGGAUGCAAGUGUUAUCCGGAAUCACUGGGCGUAAAGCGUCUGUAGGUGGUCAAAUAAGUCAACUGUUAAAUCUUGAAGCUCAACUUCAAAAUCGCAGUCGAAACUAUUAGACUUGAGUAUAGUAGGGGUAAAGGGAAUUUCCAGUGGAGCGGUGAAAUGCGUAGAGAUUGGAAAGAACACCGAUGGCGAAGGCACUUUACUGGGCUAUUACUGACACUCAGAGACGAAAGCUAGGGUAGCAAAUGGGAUUAGAUACCCCAGUAGUC